GAUGAACGCUAGCGGCAGGCUUAAUACAUACAAGUCGAACGGGAUCCGAGGUAGCAAUACUUUGGUGAGAGUGGCGCACGGGUGCGUAACGCGCAUGCAACCUACCUACAACUGGGACACAACCAGCCGGAAGGCUGGCUAAUAUCCCAUAACAUUGCGAUGUGGCAUCACAUUGCAAUUAAAGCUCCGGCGGUUAUAGAUGGGCAUGCGUGACAUUAGCUAGUUGGUGAGGUAACGGCUCACCAAGGCUACGAUGUCUAGGGGUUCUGAGAGGAUUAUCCCCCACACUGGUACUGAGACACGGACCAGACUCCUACGGGAGGCAGCAGUAAGGAAUAUUGGGCAAUGGACGCAAGUCUGACCCAGCCAUGCCGCGUGAAGGAUGAAGGCCCUAUGGGUUGUAAACUUCUUUUGUACGGAACGAAAAGCCCCGGGUUAAUACCCUGGGGUCAUGACGGUACCGUAAGAAUAAGCACCGGCUAACUACGUGCCAGCCGCCGCGGUAAUAC
rnacentral:rRNA from 1 species